rnacentral:rRNA from 1 species
AGAGUUUGAUCCUGGCUCAGGAUGAACGCUAGCGGCAGGCUUAAUACAUGCAAGUCGUGGGGCAGCACAGGUAGCAAUACUGGGUGGCGACCGGCAAACGGGUGCGGAACACGUACGCAACCUUCCUUUAACUGGAGAAUAGCCCGGGGAAACCCGGAUUAAUACUCCGUAACAUUAUGAAGUGGCAUCACUUUAUAAUUAUAGCUCCGGCGGUUAAAGAUGGGCGUGCGUCUGAUUAGGUAGUUGGCGGGGUAACGGCCCACCAAGCCUACGAUCAGUAACUGGUGUGAGAGCACGACCAGUCACACGGGCACUGAGACACGGGCCCGACUCCUACGGGAGGCAGCAGUAAGGAAUAUUGGUCAAUGGACGCAAGUCUGAACCAGCCAUGCCGCGUGGAGGAUGAAGGUCCUCUGGAUUGUAAACUUCUUUUAUUUGGGAAGAAACCCCCGAUUUCUAUUGGGGUUGACGGUACCAGAUGAAUAAGCACCGGCUAACUCCGUGCCAGCAGCCGCGGUAAUACGGAGGGUGCAAGCGUUAUCCGGAUUCACUGGGUUUAAAGGGUGCGUAGGCGGGUUGGUAAGUCCGUGGUGAAAUCUCCAAGCUUAACUUGGAAACUGCCGUGGAUACUAUCAAUCUUGAAUAUAGUGGAGGUGAGCGGAAUAUGUCAUGUAGCGGUGAAAUGCUUAGAUAUGACAUAGAACACCUAUUGCGAAGGCAGCUCGCUACACUAUUAUUGACGCUGAGGCACGAAAGCGUGGGGAUCAAACAGGAUUAGAUACCCUAGUAGUCC